CCCUUAGAUGUCCGGGGCUGCACGCGCGCUACACUGAAGGAAUCAGCGUGCUAAAACCAUUGUCGAAAGGCAUUGGUAAACCCAUUAAAAUCCUACGUGAUUGGGAUCGGGAAUUGCAAUUAUUUCCCUUGAACGAGGAAUUCCCAGUAAGUGUGGGUCAUAAGCUUGCGUUGAUUACGUCCCUGCCCUUUGUACACACCGCCCGUCGCUGCCCGGGACUGAGCCGUUUCGAGAAAAGCGGGGACUGCUGCUGUCGGGGCUUUCGGGCCUUGGCUUCGGUGGAAACCGCUUUAAUCGCAGUGGCUUGAACCGGGCAAAAGUCGUAACA
rnacentral:rRNA from 1 species